ACGCUCGACACCUACGGGAGGCAGCAGUGGGGAAUAUUGCACAAUGGGGGAAACCCUGAUGCAGCGACGCCGCGUGAGUGAAGAAGUAUUUCGGUAUGUAAAGCUCUAUCAGCAGGGAAGAAGAUGACGGUACCUGAGUAAGAAGCCCCGGNUAACUACGUGCCAGUAGCCGCGGUAAUCUGAGCGGCUGGCAAGC
rnacentral:rRNA from 1 species